AUGCGGCUUCCUACGGGAGGCAGCAGUGGGGAAUAUUGGACAAUGGGCGCAAGCCUGAUCCAGCAAUGCCGCGUGGGUGAUGAAGGCCUUCGGGUUGUAAAGCUCUUUCGCCCGCGACGAUGAUGACGGUAGCGGGAGAAGAAGCCCCGGCUAACUUCGUGCCAGCAGCCGCGGUAAUACGAAGGGGGCGAGCGUUGUUCGGAUUUACUGGGCGUAAAGGGCGCGUAGGCGGCCUAUCAAGUCAGGCGUGAAAGCCCCGGGCUCAACCUGGGAAUUGCGCUUGGGACUGACAGGCUGGAGAUCGGGAGAGGAGCGUGGAAUUCCCAGUGUAGAGGUGAAAUUCGUAGAUAUUGGGAAGAACACCGGUGGCGAAGGCGGCGCUCUGGGCCGACACUGACGCUGAGGCGCGAAAGCGUGGGGAGCAAACAGGAUUAGAUACCCUGGUAGUCCACGCUGUAAACGAUGUGUGCUAGACGUUGGGGAGCCUAGCUCCUCGGUGUCGCCGCUAACGCUGUAAGCACACCGCCUGGGGAGUACGGCCGCAAGGUUAAAACUC
rnacentral:rRNA from 1 species